rnacentral:lncRNA from 1 species
UCCUGUCUCUUUGUUGUCUAAGCUAGAAAAUAUAGGCUUUAUUAUUGUUCUAUAGAAACAUUUUCUUUAAAUCACAAAGAAUGCAUCAAAAUACUCCAAAUGUACCUCUCUACUUCAUCCAACCAACUAUAUACAUACAUAUAUAUAUGUAUGAAUGUGUAUAUAUGGGUCAAGGUCAAGCUGACCUGGAGUAACUCUGAGUUACACUUUUUUGAAUUAGAUGAUGAGAGUCCCAUAUUGAUAAUACGAGUAUGAUCUACUAUCUCUAAAUUGCUAAUAUACCAAAAAUCAUAUGAUUUUAGAGAAUCUUUAGCUUAUGCAUCAAGUAGUCAAAUUGGAUGGUUUAAUUGAUAUGAAAGAAUACAUGUUUUUCAGCACUUUAUGCAUAGAAUAAGGAUCUCCAAAUCACAUAACUUUUAGUGUGUAAGUAGUUUAAAGGUGGUCAAAUAAGCUCAAAUCAUCGAUAUAGGACUCCCAUCAUCCAGUUCAAAAAGAUGUAACCAUAAAAGAGUUAAAGCAGGUGUAACUUGAUCUUGAGCCAUACAUAUACACAUAAAUACAUAAUAUAUACAUAUAUAAGUAUAUGCAUAUACAUGUAUAUAGAUAUAUAUGUGUGUGUG